ensembl:lncRNA novel transcript, antisense to SYNDIG1
GGAUUCACUUAGUGAUGGGGAGAAAGCAGAUGACGCAGAACAGGCCUGCUGCUUCCACAAGGCUAUGACUCCUGCAUCCAGGAUGAUGCCCAAGACCUCCCAGAAGCUGGCCCUGCGACGAGGAUCUGAGUGCACUUGGGAGGUGGUUCCAGAAAGCACUGGGUAGGGGCAAGAAAGGCAGUUCUCUUUGCCCAGCAUUUGGCCAGGGCGUUGGCCCACCUCACCAAUGUGAUCCCAUGUGAGUACCGUCAACUUUAGAACUCAAUUACUCUCGUUUUGUGCAUGAAGAGAGUGAAGUCCUAGCCCUAGGACUUGAUCCUUGUUCUGUCCAAAUAAAUCCCCAAGGCACUUUUCUAAGGGGAUGUUCUCUGGCAUGUUUGUUCCAGCUAUGCACAUUGCUGCUGGAGGCUGGGUUGCGAGUCAGCAUCUCAGGGAAAGGUGGAUCAGCACAGCCGCCCUCCUGGCCCCAGACCACAGGCUACAUUCCCAGACUCGCUGCCAUUGCAUGACAGAGAAUCCGUCAGCUCGGGGAACUGGAUGAAGCGGGCUGGGACUGAUACUCCAAAGUGCUGUCAAGCUAGUGUCCUUUGCUGGUGUUACAGUUGGAUUUUCUACUUUGCCAUUUGACUGUAAGGUCAGUGUCAGUGUUGGGUCUGCACCUGGAAGCCACUGAGGGAGGUACAUGUCACAUCCCCUGGCAUCAGGAACGUGACGGACCUUGUCCUGGGUCUGCUAUGGGGAUGGUGACAAGGCAAAUCCCUCCUGCAGCAGGGCAUGCUGCUCACCCUGUGCGCAGCUGUGCCCUGGGCCAGGCCCUGCGCUG